GUCCCGCCUGGGGAGACUGCGCCCGGGAUAAUAGGAGCGCUUGGCCUCUGAGACUACCCGGCAGAAGGGACGUCCCCAAAUGACACUCGGAGGCCGCCUCCCUGGGCUCCGGUGCUCGGUGCCGGGAGGAGCGGCACGGCUUUCUACCCCGCCUCAGGUGCGCCAGCACGUUUUCUGGGCAGCAUCUGUGUGUUAGGCGACCGGAGAGGUGGGUUCCUUAUAGGGAAUAAGAAAACUGAAACUGACUUCCAACUGCAGGCAGAAGGAAGCAGUGGUCAUUGCUGGAGGUUAAAACUGUUCUGACCGGGCGCAGUGGCUCACGCCUGUAUUCCCAGCACUUUGGGAGGCUGAGGCGAGCAGAUCACGAAGUCAGGAGAUCAAGACCAUCCUGGCCAACAAGGUGAAACCCCGGCUCUACUAAAAAUACAAAAAUUAGCUGGGCGUGGUGGCGCGCGCCGGAAGUCCCAGCUACUUGGGAGGAUGAGGCAGAAGAAUCGCUUGAACCCGGGAGGCGGAGGUUGCGGUGAGCCGAGAUCGCGCCAUUGCACUCCAGCCUGGCGACUCAGCGAUACUCCGUCCCCCUCUCCCCGCCCCAAGAAAAAUCUGUUCAGUGGGGAGCGACAAGGAAGGAGCUUUCAGCCCGACUGGGGUCGCAGGGAAGAAUUCAAGAUGGCGUGUUUAGGAGCUCUAGCUCCUUGACAAAUUAGUAAAAUGUUAGUCUUAGGAGAAGAACGAAAAGGCUCUCCUAGGCUAAGAAACAGCAUACACAGUGAGAAACCUCAGAAGAAAUAAAAUUCAAGGAAGAUAGCAACAACGAAAACAUCAGAAGGAACACUAAAGUAGUCAAAUCAGCCUAGCAGAAACAAAGUACGUUAACCAAUGGAAAACUGACGGAGAGAAAUAAACUGUUUUUGCACAGCUAAAUGGAAAUGACUUUUGAAUUAUCUGCUUUGGAAGAUUAUCCAUGACACUGUUCUGCCCUGCUCUGCUCUAACAACAUUUAUGUACAUCACCUUCUGUUUCCUUCUUAAAAACCAUGCCAUGCAAUACUGAAGAGGAAGUGAUACCACAGCCCAGAAUUUUACAAACUCUGAUGUUAUCAACUUUGAAAUGGCCAGAAUCAGGAAAAAUAGAUACGCAUGCCUGAACAAUAAGCUUGGCCAGAAAUACUUCAUUACCAUAUUGUUUACACAUUACAGAGGUACGAAGUAGAGAUGAGACUUCAUCAACAUCUCGAAGGUUUUUUGCA
rnacentral:lncRNA from 1 species